rnacentral:rRNA from 1 species
ACACGACUACAUUAGACUACCCUGUAGUCCUAGCCGUAAACGAUACUCGCUAGGUGUCGGCCACGGUGCGACCGUUGUCGGUGCCGUAGGGAAGCCGUGAAGCGAGCCACCUGGGAAGUACGGCCGCAAGGCUGAAACUUAAAGGAAUUGGGCGGGGGAGCACAACAACGGGUGGAGCUUGCGGUUUAAUUGGAUUCAACGCCGGAAAUCUUACCGGGACCGACAGCAACAUGAAGGCCAAGCUGAAGACUUUGCCGGAUUAGCUG